CUGAUAAAAGCUAUUUUGGAGAGAGGUAUAUAUAAUCUAUGCAAAUCAUAUAAGAUUUACUCUAUUAUUGCACUCAGCCAAGGAAUUAUACAGUAAUGGGUUAAUUAUAUCCUUUUCUUAAGAGUAACAACAUUACAUUAAAAAAUGCAGUAAAAUAUACCCCCAAACCGUGAGUCUUAUGUUCCUAAUUGCGCAUGCGCCAGACCGCGCUUUUUGACUGAGCGGGACAGCAAGCAAAUUCUGGGUCCUUUCUUCAGCUUCCAUCGAACCCGAUCGAACCACAGAAGUGAAGGUCCUCACGUGUGUCCUUUACAAGCAGAGGCUGGCUGAUAGUCGACUCUGUUACCAGUUCUAGGGCUGAUGCACCCACCCACGUCCCCACCCCCGGUGUAUCCUUUACAGGUAUGCAAGUUUCUAAAGAAAUAAAUCACAUUGACCUUGAAAAUGUGGUUAAUCUUAACCAAAGUCCUCAGUUAUGUGAAAAUGACUUGGAAAUGCAAGUUGUGCAACUUCACAACCACAAAAAGAUUAGACCUGCUGAAACACAUCAGGCUAAUACAUGGGCAUUUUGGUCGAGUCCACUCCAUACCCUGCCUUCAUGCAGAUUGCCCUUGCACUGUCAAGCCAUGGGGUGCAUUAAGGACACAUUUGUCAAGGCAUCAUUCACAGUCAUCCCAGCCAGGCAACAUCCUUUCGUUCACAUGCAUUGUCUGUAAUUCAUGCUCUUUUGACAAUGAGAGGCAGUUUUUUGAACAUCUUGGUGCCCAUCUAAAAAAGUUUGAAACUGUGCCAUGUGUUUUUGAGGAUUGUGAUUAUCUUUUGCAGCUUAUGCGUGCCAAAGGAGGAGCUGCUGGUUCCAAGAUGAGACCUUUGCUGGACACUUUGAAUGACGUAUGUUAUUUGACUUUUUUCACAAAUAUGUAAUUAUGGAGGGCUGCAGUGGGUAGCAAGAAGGUCCUGGGUUCAAAUCCUGGCCCAGGGUCUUUAUGCAUGGAGUUUGCAUGUUCUCCCUGUGCAUGUGUGGGUUCCCCCCGGGUACUCCGGCUUCCUCCCACAGUCAGAAAACAUGACUGUUAGAUUAAUUGGUCUCUCUAAAUUGUCCUUAGGUUUGCGUGUGUCCGUGCAUGGUUGUUUAUCCUGUCUGUCUCUAUGUUUCCUUGUGAUUGACUGUCCAGGGUGUACCCAGCAUCUCACCUGUUGAAAGCUGGAGAGAGGCAUCAGCCAUGUUUUUGUUUUUAAGUAAUUCAGUCUUAAUGUAUGUAAAUCACUCGACUUAGUCUUUUCACUAAAUUGUAUCUCCCUACAGACACAGAACAUUGAGAAGAAAAGGGAUGUUGUUAUCUGCUACCUCAUUAGCUACCUCGGGGAAAGACAAGAAGAUCUUUUUCAUGACUGCCAGGAAUGUGAGGAUUACACAGACAAUAUGAUGAAGGUGAUCGUGAUCCACAACAUCAUGGCUGAGGAGGAUCCAUCAGAUGUGUCCAUUGUGAUUGAGGGAAACCAAGUGAUGGAGGGAUGUGGAAGCCGAACAAAGGCAUGUGUACUACUGAUGGGACUGAUAUAUGCCCUCAACCUCGAAUAUCCGAAGGAGCUGAAGAACACAUUUGACACUUUUCAAAAACUGUUUUUGGAACUUGAUGGGGCGAAACUACUGAACAAGGUCCACGGCCUCAAAAAUAAGCUUUUGCAAUGCACACACAUUUCCCCUCUUGUUCCCAGAGGGUCUUUUGUCCAGACAUAGCUUGAUGGAGCUGUAAUUUUUCUUCUGACAGCAAGCACAGAAACUAUUGAAUGUUGGUGUUAGUGUUCUGUUCUAUCUAUACAUAUGUUUGAUAACGUACAUGCACAGAAACAACCUUGUAGAGUUUCUGUGCUUUUGGCUUUUAAAAUGGACUAAGUCGCCUUGGAAAGUGUUGUCUGCAUUAGCUGUUGUGUUGCACUUUAUUCUGUGUUUUUAUGGAAUAAAAACAUUGAGAUAAUGAA